AACGAACGCUGGCGGCAUGCCUAACACAUGCAAGUCGAACGAGAUCUUCGGGUCUAGUGGCGCACGGGUGCGUAACGCGUGGGAAUCUGCCCUUUGGUUCGGAAUAACAGUUGGAAACGACUGCUAAUCACGGAUGAUGACGAAAGUCCAAAGAUUUAUCGCCAGAGGAUGAGCCCGCGUAGGAUUAGCUAGUUGGUGUGGUAAAGGCGCACCAAGGCGACGAUCCUUAGCGGGUCUGAGAGGAUGAUCAACCACACUGGGACUGAUAAACGGCCCAGACUCCUACGGGAGGCAGCAGUGGGGAAUAUUGGACAAUGGGCGAAAGCCUGAUCCAGCAAUGCCGCGUGAGUGAUGAAGGCCUUAGGGUUGUACAGCUCUUUUACCCGGGAUGAUAAUGACAGUACCGGGAGAAUAAGCUCCGGCUAACUCCGUGCCAGCAGCCGCCGUAA
rnacentral:rRNA from 1 species